UUCUUCAAGUUUUGACUUUUAUUUUUGUAUCCACCAUAAAAACAUACAUGUUUGAUAUAUGGCAUUUGAUGGACUUUUUUCAACCUACAUGAUUGUGAUUAUAAAUCAGUGCAUUUUCCGUGGUGGUUAAGUCUCUAUAUUAGACAUUUAAAGUCCAUUUUUAAACAGAGUAAAAAAAUCUAACAUGGUAAUUUAUUUAUUUCUUGUUCGUGUACACACAAGUCUAUAAACGCAUCAUGUUGACUUAUUCAUUUUAAUCACAGCAGUUCUUUAUACCUACUACUGCUCAGACGUCUCGGUUUGAGAUAAGACAUAGAAAUGAUUUAGCCUACUCCUGUGUCAAAUGGGAAACAUAUUUAGACUUUGCAUUUCUCUGUCUUGAAUGAUUCACCCCAAGUAGCUCCAUAAAUGCUGUUUUGAUAGGAAUCUAAAUACAAUUGCAACAGAUGGUGGUAAUGAGAAAAAACAUCAACUAAUAAUUUAGGAAAAUAACAAUGCCUUCAUUUUUGCCUAGUGUUGUGCUCAACAAGUAGUCAUAAAUAAUGCAUAAUUAAAAACAAAUACAAUCACAAUUAUUAUUUAACUUUCAAUUAAUCAACAAAUAGAAACAACUGUGAAUAUCAUAAACCAUAGUAUUCCACUUUUAUGUAUACUCCACGCUAAUAUUAAAUGAGCCAUGGAAACAUUUGUGCACCAAGAACCUUGGUAAAUGUUAAAAUACUCUUUGUAACAAAUGACUAAAAUACUGACAAUUUCUAAUUUGUAUCCACUACUGCAUUAAUCUUUGCAGAAUUGGUCUCAAAUGGCAAUAAUGUAUGAGCUGCUGUACCAAAUAAAGGACAUAAUGUGUGCUUUGGAUAUUUUUUAGCAUUCCAGUAACAAAAUACUUUAAAUUACCUGUCAGUGAAAAAUUACCUAUCUAUGAAUAAAUUAACUAUAGUGAAUUCGAAUGAGCUUACAUAAUGUGACCUAUAGUCUUUUAGAUUGUACGAGGCAUAUUCUAAUGCAUUUUUUAGCAUAUUGUAUAUAUACCUUGCUUCAGUGUAUUCAGCUUGUUUUAUUUCUUUUUUUUUUUAUAAAACAUAUCUUGUACAUGUUUUGCUAAAAUGUGCGCAGGUCCCAUUUUCUCCCAAGUAUGAAAAGUAUAUAUCCAGGAAAUAUAAAGGCAUGCAUUGUCUUUAUACCAGCAUGUAUAAAAUGUAAAUGCCUACAUGAUAAUUUUCCAAGAAAGCGAUUCAAACUUUUUUUGCCUUAUUUUGGAUCAACAGCAAAAACAGAUGUGAGGCUGAACUUGAUGAACACGUCUCUUUUUAGCCUAUGUAAUUAUGCAACUAAGAAGAAACCUAUUGAAAAGUAAGGAUACUAGAUCCUAAACGUACCAGGAGAUGACUUGUGAGAAAUAUAAAAGCUAAUAAUUGGGCUAAAACAGAUAUACAAUGGUAUAAGUAUAACAGAUACAAAUAGUACAUAAAUAAAAUCAAAUAACAGACACAUAAUACAAAAUGUCCAGGAAAAGUGAUGCCCCUGCUAGUGAAGUGGGGGACAAUUAACUAAGUAGUGGACCAGUAAAAAAAAAUAAAGAAUAAUGAAAAAAUAUAUAAAUAAAAAUAAUAUAUGCAAGAUAUAAAAAUUAACAAAAAAGCAACAGCAUCUGAUAUGUCACAUCAAAGUGUUGCUCAAAGUCAUAGGAUUCAAACUGGUAGAAUUUACCAUCAAAUAAAGUCCAUAAAAGUAACAGUAGUGAAAACAGUUGUAGCAAUGUUUUAAUGUAACUAUGUGUCAGCUAUCUGGAUACACAACUCCUGUAAUUGAGUAACAUGAGCAGCAAUUUAUGCAAGGCUGAUUUAAUAUGACCUACGGUGCAGAAUGAAAAAUAGGUGUCAAAUAGUCUGGUAUUAGCACAUCAUUUGCCACAGUAGAAACAAUACAAGGUCUUAGAUCACAGUGACAGAUCUAGAGUGGCAGGAUCUUCACUAUGUUCUGAAAAAUAAAAUAAACAGCCAUAGUGCUCUCUAUUAAAACGUGAUUUAUUUAUCAAAAUAUUGAGCAUGUAUAGAGAAAUCUGAAACUGCAGGAUAGGGGGAUAAAGUGGAUCGGUGCUGAUGCUCCCUCUGGCCGGCUUAGAGGAGGUGAUGCGCAGAGACUGAUGGUGAAGUCUUCCCGUGCGUUCCACUUUGUCCAAAGCCUGGGUUACACUUAAACCCGAUAACAGAAUGAUCCUACAGGAAAUGCCGUAAAGCCUUAUGUUUCGUGACUCAACAAUGUCACUUCAUCAGAGGCUAAAACUAGAUGGAUCUAUCUAGCGUACAUUUAUAGCACAUAAAUCCGCCAUAUACAAGCGGCAGCUGUAUCGACAGGGAAUGCCCACCUGCCAACGUCAAGGCAGACCCCCCUAAGCGAUCCUACACUGACUAAUAAUAAUUUUUAACCUUAUGAAAAUAUGGCAGAGAGUACUGUAAAGUACUGCAACGAUAUCUCCACUGAGACAGAGAGGGGUAUUUUGUUCCCUAUUAAGGGUUAAUAAGUAUAUAGGAGUGUAUAUAAAAAAUACCCCUCUCUGUCUCUGUGGAAAUAUCGUUGCAGUACUUUACAGUACUCUCUGCCAUAUUUUCACAAGGUUAAAAAUUAUUAUUGGUUUCUUGAAUUUUUUUAUUUUACAGACAGGCCUAAUGCAAUUUUCUGUUGCCUUCAGUAGUGCAACUUUUAAAUAAUCCCAUUUCUCUUGGACUCCAUUUAAAUUGAUCCAGUCUGAUAAUGAUUCCUUUACACAUAUUCUAAUUUUAGAAAAGUCUGUUUUUCUAAAGUCUAAAACUUUUGUUUUUGUGUGGUGUGACUCAUUCACUGUUCUUAUAUUAAACUACACUAACUGAUGAUCACUGAAUCCUAAACUUUCACCUACAGUAAUAUCUGAUACCAAAUCUCCAUUUGUUAACACUAAAUCUAGUAUGGCCUCUUUAGGAGUUGGCUCUUCAAGGACUUGUUUUAGAGACAAUCCCAGUAGGGAGUUUAGAAUAUGUGUGUUCCUGGCACAAGCAGCUAUUUUGGUUUUCCAGUUCACAUCAGGAAGAUUAAAGUCACCCAUGCUGAUAACUUACCCCUUCAUUGUCAUUUUAACUAUUUCCUCAGCUAGUAGAUUAUCUAACUUCUGUUUGGCCUGGGGGCCUAUAAUUCACACCUACAUGAGUUACUGUGUGAUUACCAAAUUCUAACAUAACCCAAACGGACUCUAUGUUCCCCUCACUAAUUUUUAUUAGGCUAUAUUUUAUGCUAUCCUUAACAUACAGGGCCACCCCUCCCCCUUUCUUGCCUUCCCUGUCCUUUCUAUAUAAAGAGUACCCUGGUAUUGCUAUGUCCCAGUCAUUUGUCUCACUAUACCAUGUCUCAAUAACAGUGACUAAAUCAACAUUAUCAGUUGCCAUUAUUGCCACUAAUUCAUGGAUCUUAUUCACUAAACUGCAAGCAUUUGUAGACAUGACUCUAAGCUCAUCAUUUUUUAACACACUUGCUACCUUCUGUCCUUGUUUUGCGGGGGCAAUUGGAUUGCUGUUUUAUCACCCUUUUGCCCCCCAUCCUAAUUUAAAUACCUCCUAACCUUUGAACUGCUCUCUGAGAACAUUUGUUCCCUUUCGAGAAAGAUGCAAACCAUCUUUUUUGUACAGUUUAUUUCCUUUCCAAACAGAGCUACAAUGAGAAAUUAAGCCAAAUCCUUGCUCCCGACACCAUUCACGAAGCCACAAGUUAAAGUCCCUAAUACGCAUCUGCCUGUCGUUCUGAGUGCUAUGCACACGCAGAGCUUCAGAGAAUGACAGUGUGGAAGCAACCUGCUGUAUAUCAUUGGCAAAAACACAAAAAUACUUCCUUUACCUCUGAAACCUCAUUGCAAGCCAAGUCAUUUGUCCCCAGAUGGACAUGUACAUCCAAUUCCCCUUCCUGCUUUGCUUGCUUAACAAUAUUACAAAUAAGUCUCCUGUCUCUAUGAGCAGUAGCUCCGGGAAGACAUCUCACAAGACCACUAUUGUCCAGCUCCACACCUCUAGAUAGAAUCCCCCAACAACAACUGCUUUCUAUUAGGCCUCACCAUAGUCUCCAAGCCUGUCUCCAUAAUACCACUUCACUCAGUGCCUGAGCCUGUCUCCACAACACCACUACCCUCCGUGCCUGAGCCUGUCUCCAUAACACCAUUACACUAUGAAACUGCAACUGACUGUGUAAUAUGCCUUUUAUCCACAACUCUUAGUUUACCAGAUCCUACAGUGAUCCAUCUGCCAUUCCUAGUACGUCUCUGCAGCAGUGGCUUUGCAGCAGUUCCAGCCUGAGUUUGUUUACCAGAUAAUUUACAAAUCUCAGACUUCAAAAAUACAAUCUCAUGCUGCAAUAUAGGGAACUGUCUACAGAUUAGACAGCAUCCAAAUCUUAAAAAAGUGGAACGUGAAACAAAUAACAACUAUUACACUGAACUAAGUCUGCCAUUUUAAUGGGGUGAGUAAUUUAAAUCAAACAAAUCUCAACUUUUUUUCCCUCCUGUAUACCUCAGAUUACCUCCAGUUUAUCUCCAGAAUAUCUCAAAGCACACACUUUGAAGCAGCAACUAAGCUAUAUUAGCCAAGCUAAUGACCACAACCCAUAUAUAACUCAUGAAAGCAUCACCCACUAGGAAUGUUUAACCCUCGUAGGCCUAUGCUUAUUUGUAAACAAUAGCUAAUUAACCAACAAUCAAUAGCAAACACCCAGCUAAUCAAAUGCCUUACCAAUUACCAACAGGAAAUCAAACCUUGUGCAAUCAGUACCCUUUUCCUAUAGAUGAAUCUCACCUGUAACAGUAAAAAAGAAAACUCUAAGUAAAAUCUUAGACAGUUGACGAUCCUGUAAGACUCUUCGGAAUAUCUCCAAUCACACACUUUGAAGCUGCCCUUAGAUGUAGCAACCAAGCUAUAUUAGCCAAGCUAAUGACCACAACCCUUAUAUAACUCCUAAAAGCACCACAAACUAGGAAUGUUUAACACCUGGGUAGGAACACACACAUACAUUGACAGAUACAAUCACCCAACCACAGUGUGUGUCUGACAUUGUGUAUUGAUACAUGUGUGUGCAUGUCUGGCCUUGUGUAGUGUGUAUUUAUCUGAAAGUGUAUGUCUGGCAGUGAGUAUCCUUGUGCAUCUGUAAGUGUAUAUCGUUGUGAUGAAUGCCCCUUUGCUUGGACAUUCGUCACUGGCUCCUGGAGGAGUGUGGAGGUUAGCCUCCUGCUCACUGACUAUGGGCCAUGAUAAAAGGCCUUUGAAGCAUACCUUUGAAGCAAGACACCUGCACCAUAUCCCAUAAGCGGGGACUGUACGCUGUCCAUACUAGAGCUAGCUAUAGCUCAUCCACAUGUGAGUGCAUUACCAUCUUCUUUUUAUCUUUUAUUUCAUCUUAUUGGAUAUAUUGCACUAUUUUGUUCUAUCUUUUAUCUUUUUAUAUUAUUGGAUCAUUUUGGGGAAGAUCUACGUGAACACUAUCCCUGACCAAGCACGUUACAGACCAUUUGAUCUAAAGAAAGAACUGUCAAGUUAAGACCUUUGUGGGAUACAAUAUUGCUAUCCUAUUAUAUUUAUUUUGUGUGGCGCAGCCUCUUCUCUGUAUUUUCUCUUCUGUUGUUUUUAAGGGGACUUUGAGGGAUUUGGUAGGUUUGUUUUUAUGGUUCAUAGAAUACUACCAAGAAGCCAGAGUGUGUGUUCAGUAUUUGAUUUGCACGGAAAUCCCGACAUUGGAACUGUUUUUGGCAUAGGACCAUGUGUGUGGCCGGUCAGAAUUCCCCACGGUGGAGUUUCGGCUGUGUUCGUGGGAUUUGAGCGCUUUUCAGAAAAGUUGGGCACUCAGAUCCAGGCUACCUGGGGAUGUAUGGUCAGUGGGGGUUCCUAUGUGGGAAAUAUAAAUAUUUGUGUGUUUUCAUAUUUUGUCAUUUUAUGCUUAGUCAUGGUGACAUGGCAUUUUGGGGACAUUUUGUAGGUGUGUUGUGGGAGUGUCAUACGUGUUUACUGUGUCCCUGUAUUGUAUAAAAGCAAGCCAUUGAGCCUGGAUUAAACAGAUUUGGUUUACCCUUCAUCAAGUCUAGGCUGAUGUUUGGGGAUUUGGGAGCUAUAAUCACUGCAUCACUUGGGAUUUAGGAGACUUACAGCAGAUAUACUCUGCCGGAGUAUAUGGGAUCUGUCACAAUCAUGUACAUCUGUGAGUGUGUAUAUCUGUCCAUAACUGUGCCUGCAAUUCAAAUAUGUGUCUGUGUGUCUCUGUGAAUCUCUGUGUCUGGGUGCACAUGUAUCUCUAUGUCUAGGAGCAUAUGUGUGGAGAGAGCUGCUUGCAAUAUGUUGUGUGUAUGGGAGGGGCUGCUUUGUGUGUGAGGAGUACUUGUGGAUGUUUUGUGUGUGUAGUGGAUGAAGUGUGUGUAGUAGAUGCAGUAUGUGCUGUGAAUGCAGUGUGUGUGUGUAAAGUGGAUGUGGUGCAUGUGUGCAAAGUGGAUGUGGUGUGUGUAGUUGAUGCAGUGCUUGUAGUAGAUGCACUGUGUGCAUAGUAGAUACAGUGUGUGUUUGUGUAUAUGUGUGUGUGUGUGUGUGUGUGUGUGUAGUGGAUGUAGUGUGUGUAAAGUGGAUGUAGUAUGUGUAGUGAAUGCAGUGUGUGUAGUGAAUGCAGUGUGUAAAUGAUGCUGUGUGUAUAGUGAAUGCAGAGUGCGUAUUUGUGUAGUGGAUGCAGUGUGUGUAGUGGAUAUAGUGUGCGUAUAUGUAUAUAUGUGGGGGAGUAGGAUAGGGGCUGCAUUCUGUGAUUUAUUUAUUUUUAAAAUGUAUCAUUGUAUUUCCCCCUCUCUUCCUCUUACCUGGGUUCAAUCAAAGGGGCAUUGCACUCCCUAGUGAUCAUGUGGCAUUUUGCAAGCUGCCAGACUUUCAGGUGCCUGUGUGGUGGGUUAGAUUGUAAGUAGGGAAGUUGUAUUUCACUGCUCACCCUUUACACACAAUGCUGCUUUUUUUCAUUAGUAUGUGACCCCCCGCAACCCAGCUUACCUCCCUCAUCUCACACUUUCAGCUACCCUCUGAUUGCUCUGUGGUGUGUUGCUGCCCCUCACUGUCUGCCAGCUGCUGCUCACCUGCUUGUUUCACACUCAGCAUGGGGAUGUGUUAUAUUAUCUGAACUUUAGAAACUGGAAUACAGUACAAUAAUUUUCAAACAAAAUCCUUUUGCAAUAAACAAAUUUAAUUUGCUGUUAUGCAAAUUGUGUAUACACAAUUGCAUGGUAUGAAUGCCGAGGUGAAGGGGUUAAUAUCAUUGUCAUAUGAUUAAGGGGAAAAUCACAAAUUCCUGAAGAAAAACAAAUUGUCAUGAGAGAGAGACAGUUAGACACUAAAAUGGGCAUCAAACAAACAAAUAUGACAAAAAUAAAUGUUGUAGAUGCUUAAACUUACACAGGAAAGAUUUUUCAUAUUAAAAAGGUAUUUUAUUUUAUUUGUGUAGUAUAUGAACAUGUAUUAAUGAAAAAAAGCUAUUGUACGGUUUACUGUAUUAGAAAAAAUUACAAAUUGUAGUUUUAACGGUUAUAACCACGUUUUACAUAUUCCAUGUGGAUGAAAGUUUAUAAAUAUAAAGAGCAAAACAGAAAUGCACUAAAACAGCAUAUUGGCCCCUCCUGGCUGCAUGUCAACAACUGCUGACAAGAUCUAAGAUUUAGAUUAAGCUAGAAACGUAGACAUGGAUCUUCAGUAAAUUCCUUUCACCAUCAUUCCCAGAAGAGAAGAGAGUAAAACAUUUAUAUAUUGACACAUAAACCACAAAAGAUGAUAACAGAUAUUGUAUUAAUGUCAUGAGGCUCAAAUAAGCGUUCAGGCCUAAAUCCACAAACAUCUUGUAAAUUCACAUUUUUUAUCUUCAAUGAAAUCACCACCAAAUUUCCAACCCUUACAUUUUGUCUGUCCUAAAGCACACACAUAUCUCAAAAUGAAUGGCUAUUUUUACUAAACACCAAACUAAAAAAAAGUUUUAGAGAACAUAAGUUAAUUUUGAAAAAGUUUGAGUGAAUACAUCUUCACCACAAUUCCAAAAAGUUAGUAAGUUGCAACGUACUCCUUUUAUUGAAACUCCCAUAUUCAAAUUUACCUUUUCUGGCUCUAUUUGAUCCACAUAUUUAAUAUCUAAUUCAAUUACUCUAACUUUAUGAUCUACUCUCCAUAUUUAAAAGGGAUACUCUUCACAGUUGUUUGUCACGUUGUAUAUGUGACAGACCACCUUGCACCUCUACCGGGUACCUCCUCCUACUGUGAGAUGCACUGCCGCUGGUGAGAGAGAACGGUUGUCUCUUGUCCUUGUAGGAUGCACUGCUGCUGGGGAGAGAGACCGGUUGUCUCCCCUCCCUGUAACUCCAGCUGCUGCUGGGGAUCUGUGUAGGUCCGGUAGAGAGACCUCUGUCCCAUUUCCACCUGUCAUUUGAGGUUCCUCCCAGUGCCAGUCUAUGAGGUCCACCAGGACUUGGGAAUAAGGACCACCUGUCUCCUCUCCUGGUAGCUCUGGCUGCAGCUGGGUAUCUGGGCCGGCUGCCCAGCAACCCUGUGGAGCCGCUGGAGAUACUUUGGUCCCAUCUCCAUCUGCCUGUUGGGGUUCCUCACAGGACCAGUCUAUGAGGUCCCCUACUUCGUGUACCUCUGGCUGCCUCUGGGGAGAGAAGCAAACCUCCUUUCAUUGGAGACUUCUUUUUCUCGUAUUAGCCAGCAGGAACUCUUGGUCCCUCUUCGCUUGUCUUUCGAUGGUUACCUAGUUCCAGAUAGCCUGGAAGGUUUCCAUGGACACAUUAGGGCUAUACCAGGCCACUCGCUGCCUCACCUUGGCCAGAAAAUCUUUGCAAGAGUCAGCGUAUGCCAUACUUGCCUGCUCCAUAUCAAUGGACACCUCUGCUUCCAGGGGCACUGCACGAAUGCCAGCGUUGCCCUCACUAUGAUCAACACGUUACCGGUGUCUCCAGGAUGCCUCUCCUCGCACUAGGACGCCAUCCCGCCUCUGCCACCAAAUGUGACGGACAGACUGCACCCUGACCGGGUGCCUCAGUCAAUUGCUGCUUCCUAGUACUGACGAGUACCAUAAGCACUGCGCUGGAGCACCAUAACCGCUGCAAACCCCACGAACCGCCAUAGCUUGGUUGGGGUCUCGGCGUCUACUACCCACCCUGGACCUACAACAAGGCUCCAGGUUCCCGUGGGUAGGCCUCUCCUAGUCCAAAGCGCGUAGCAGGAACAUCUCUUACAAGAGCUUAGUGAUUAUACUCAGGAGAGUAUAGUGAUUAUAGCAAUCCCCAGAGUGUAGUUCUCCAAUCCCCCGAAACUUCAUGAAGGUGCAAGAUGAUCUGAGAGUUUAAUGGUACAGGUUGGAUUUUUAUACAACUUUUCAAGCCAGAGGAACACCCACUUGACCUGAUGGGGCACAGGACACAAAUUGUACAGACCAAUAAAAACAAUGUAACAAUGCCUGACACUCCCACAUACAGCACACAAUACCUCCCCUCUGCCUGUGAUACAAUUAAGGUAGAUAAUGUAUUAACGUAAUUAUCCCCAAGCAUAAAAAACACAUUUUACAAAACCCCAAAACACAACAUAUCCCCAUAUGUUCCCCAAAACACAACAUAUCCCCAUACUUCCCCUGAUAGCCCUGAUCUGGGUGAACAACAUAUCCAAAAAUCACCCAGAUCAGAGCAGGGGUUCAGGAAUUUCCUGUAAGUCUUAUUUUUGACCCACUGUGCACAUGGUCCCAUGCCCAAAACAGUUCCAGUGAAUUAGGGCUCUGUCUAGAGUACAAAGUACAUACUUCACAUUACAGAGCCUUUUAAAGUGCAUUGGGCAAGGUAUAUUGCAGGGCCUAUAGUCCUGAGGCAAUAGGCUGGCCAGCAGGCCCCUCCAAGAGCCCUUUACGAGGUUCAGUUUGUCAAAGGGCCAUAAUCACAGGGUAGGAGGCUGACAAACAGGCCCCUCCAAAAGCCAGUGACAAGGUUGCUUUUGUCACAGUAUAUAUUUCAGGGAGAUAGUUCUACAUUGUUAUUCAAGUUGCUUUUAGAGUCUAAUCUAUAAUAUACUAGCUACUUACAUAUACCUAUUAGCCCUGUAGAACACCACUAAGGGCACAUUCCUUUUUAACUCUAAUUAGCACUUUUGUGAUUAUUUCACAAUAGGUUACACAUUUACUUUUGUGUAUUAGUUCUGUUUGUGUGUCUGUUUUUUUACAAUAAAGGUUAUUAUCCUAUAAUGAUUUUUUAAUUAGAAGUAAUCCCAGUGGGGUUGGAUUUCCUCUUGAUUCAGGUAGAAAUCUAACCUCAUCAGUUCUCUUUUUCUCAAUUUGUAUGUAGUGAGUCAUGCCCAAAUUACCUCUGUAACCCAUCCUCUAACUACAAUGUAAGUGUUUCUUACCACCUGCAGUCUCUUUCAUAUAUAAAUUCUAAUUUAUUAUAAAUAAAAUAGUAGCAAAAUACAAUUUCAUUGUGGGGCAAUUUUAGAAUUUGAUAUGUGUGUCUUCUAAG